GCACCCAUAGUCCAACGGAUAGAACGCAAGCUUGCGGAGCUUGAGAUCGAGGUUCAACUCCUCGUGGGUGCA
rnacentral:tRNA from 1 species